rnacentral:rRNA from 2 species
UUGACCUCGGAUCAGGUAGGGAUACCCGCUGAACUUAAGCAUAUCAAAAGGCCGGAGGAA